GAUGAACGCUGGCGGCGUGCCUAAUACAUGCGAGUCGAGCGAACAGACGAGGAGCUUGCUCCUCUGACGUUAGCGGCGGACGGGUGAGUAACACGUGGAUAACCUACCUAUAAGACUGGGAUAACUUCGGGAAACCGGAGCUAAUACCGGAUAAUAUAUUGAACCGCAUGGUUCAAUAGUGAAAGACGGUUUUGCUGUCACUUAUAGAUGGUUCCGCGCCGCAUUAGCUAGUUGGUAAGGUAACGGCUUACCAAGGCAACGAUGCGUAGCCGACCUGAGAGGGUGAUCGGCCACACUGGAACUGAGACACGGUCCAGACUCCUACGGGAGGCAGCAGUAGGGAAUCUUCCGCAAUGGGCGAAAGCCUGACGGAGCAACGCCGCGUGAGUGAUGAAGGUCUUCGGAUCGUAAAACUCUGUUAUUAGGAAAGAACAAAUGUGUAAGUAACUAUGCACGUCUUGACGGUACCUAAUCAGAAAGCCACGGCUAACUACGUG
rnacentral:rRNA from 1 species